rnacentral:lncRNA from 1 species
GACACUACAGAGAAGUUCCCAUCAGUCCUUGCAUCACUGGCCGGCCUCCCUGGCAGUCAACCCGCAGGAGAGCAUGCUGGUGCCGCUUUCCGAAGUGAUGCUGACGCACAGCCCUGUGGGGUUCCAAACAGUUCCGGGGAAGGAGUGGGCGCCAAGCCAAGCUGGGACUCCUGAUGUCACAGAGGAAUCUUAGCACUUGGAAGGCUGACAGAGCCUGCCUUUGUCAGUUAUGCUGCGUUGCAAGUCAGAAGGGAACUGAAGCUCCAGAAAGCCAGGCAAAAUCAGAACAAGAACAAUGUAAGAAACUCUCCAACUGAAUUCCACAUGGUGCCUGGAUCCUGAUGCUUCCUAAGAAACAACAUUUUUUCCAUUCUCUGGAUGGUUCCUGGAUACUCUUGUUCUAAAAGAAUAAGACUUAAAGAGAUUUGGUGAGAAUAAAGUUUAAAAAAAAGUCA